GAUGAAGAACGUAGCAAAAUGCGAUAAGUAAUGCGAAUUGCAGAAUUCAGUGAAUCAUCGAAUCUUUGAACGCACAUUGCGCCCCUUGGUAUCCCGAGGGGCAUGCCUGUUCGAGCGUCAUUUCACCACUCAAGCCUGGCUUGGUGUUGGGCGACGUCCUCUUUGGGGACGCGCCUCGAAACGCUCGGCGGCGUGGCACCGGCUUUAAGCGUAGCAGAAUCUUUCGCUUUGGAAGUCGGGGCCCCGUCUGCCGGAAGACCUGCUCGCAAGGUUGACCUCGGAUCAGGCAGGGAUACCCGCUGAACUUAAGCAUAUCAAUAAGCGGAGGA
rnacentral:misc_RNA from 1 species